rnacentral:rRNA from 1 species
GAUGAACGCUGGCGGCGUGCCUAAUACAUGCAAGUCGAGCGAACAGACGAAGAGCUUGCUCCUCGGACGUUAGCGGCUGAGGGUUGAUUAACACGUGGAGAACCUAGCUAUAAGACUGGAAUAACUUCGGGAAACCGGAGCUAAUACCGGAUAAUAUAUUGAACCUCAUGGUUCAAUAGUGAAAUACGGUUUUGCUGUCACUUAUACAUGGAUCCGCGCCGCAUUAGCUAGUUGGUAAGGUAACGGCUUACCAAGGCAACGAUGCGUAGCCGACAUGAGAGGGUGAUCGGCCACACUGGAACUGAGACACGGUCCAGACUCCUACGGGAGGAAGCAGUAGGGAAUCUUCCGCAAUGGGCGAAAGCCUGACGGAGCAACGCCGAGUGAGUGAUGAAGGUCUUCGGAUCGUAAAACUCUGUUAUUAGGGAAGACCAAAUGUGUAAGUAAAUAUGCACGUCUUGACGGUACCUAAUCAGAAAGCCACGGCUAACUACGUG